CUUGAAACUGAACAUUGAGCCUUGAUGUGUAGGAUAGGUGGGAGGCUUUGAAGCGUGGACGCCAGUCUGCGUGGAGCCAACCUUGAAAUACCACCCUUUAAUGUUUGAUGUUCUAACGUUGGCCCCUUACCGGGGUUGCGGACAGUGUCUGGUGGGUAGUUUGACUGGGGCGGUCUCCUCCUAAAGCGUAACGGAGGAGCACGAAGGUUAGCUAAUACUGGUCGGACAUCAGGAGGUUAGUGCAAUGGCAUAAGC
rnacentral:rRNA from 1 species